CCAGGAGGGCUCAGCCCUACCAUGAAACGGAGCCCCCGUGGGAGAUUUCACGUGUAGGGAGGAACACUGAAUGAAGUUGCACAGAAAAAUCACAGCUUCCACGUGUCUGCAAAUUGCGAGGAUAGAGAAGGAGGAUCUGUCUUCAGUUCAGAUCCUCAGCAGAAUUUCAAUUUCCCCAAAUUUGGCACAAGGUCACAGUAGCUCCCCCAGGCCACUUUCUCCUGGGACCCAGCCAAUACACCGUGAGAAGCCCUGGGAGAUGCCAUGAGGAGGAGAACUAAGGCACUCUGGUCCCGCCCCAGCUCAGCUCUCCGCUAACAGCCAACUGGCAGCCCUGUGAGUGAGCCAUGGAAGAUGCUCCAGCCCAGGUGAGCCCACAUGGAGCAGAGAACAUCCCAGCUGAACCCAGUCAAGCCACAGACUUGUGUAGAUGCAUAUAUUUACUUGCCCACUCGGCUGACAGCAGUGAGAAGAGGAAGGUUCUGGGCCAGAAUGUUCCUGCUGAGAAGACAGGUUCAGACCACAGCCUUCGUUCCAUUGCACGUAUGCCGCCUGUUUGA
rnacentral:lncRNA from 1 species